ensembl:lncRNA
CACGCAGUAUGGAUUUAAGUUAGUGGAAUGUAGAGGUUUCCUCAAAAAAGUACAGUGUAUGUGAAAUACUGGAACAAAAAUAAUUUCUGAAAUGUCAUCUAGUUUAAUCUUCCAGCCUACGUUGUUUGCACUUAUUAUUCUCCAGGUGCACAGUGAUGUGACAGCUGUAAAUGGGAUGCUGGGUAGUUCUGUUACACGGCAUCAUGAAUAUCCUGACUUGGAACACCCUGUUCAUGUCACUUGGAACAAGGGAAAGACUUUGUUAAAUAGCUGGACACGUCGUACCAGGGCCACCGAAGGGAUGCGAACUGUCAGAGGAAUUGUAGGUGACUGUGUUAUGCUUGAUCUGUACAAUUACGUGAACAGGCAUAUUCAUGUUACCUGGAAGAAAGGCAAUAAGCAAGUGGCCAAGAUGAAAGGUCAGCCUGUACACGGCUCUGGAACAUACAGAGAGAGGUUUCAUGCAUUCUCCAAUGGCAGCUUGAGUGUUUGCCCCAUGCAGCCGGGAGAUGAGGGUCAGUACAUGGCAGAAGUGUUUGGUCAUGAUGGGGCAAGUUUGGGCCAUCAAAAAAUUCAGCUAGAGUAUAGCGGAAAUAGAACAGCACCUGUUCAAGAAGUAAUAGGAAUUGUUGGUGGCUCCAUGGUCCUACCUCUAGCAGCGAUGGAUUGGAAAGACUUGGUCCAGAUAAUGUGGAAGAAAGACAGCUUGUUGGUUGCUGAGUUAAAUUACUCUCAGUCGGAGUCCGAUGGGAGAUCCACCUAUAGAUCUCAGAUCUUACCUAAUGGCACGCUCAGACUGGACAGGAUUCAGGAAAGUGAUUGUGGACGGUAUUCAGUAGAAGUGCGAGACAGAGAUGGGAAGAUUCUAUACCAGAGAACGAUUGAUGUGAAAGUGGAACCAGCAACGGUGGCCUCAUCAGUUAUCUCGCAUUUACUGUUAUUCAGCAUAGUGGGAGUGCAUGUUGCUGUAUUCAUUGUUGUGUUGGGUUCACUUAUAUGGCAUUUUCGAAAGUGCAGACACAGAACAGGUCGCAUGACAAACCUAAGCUUCCGGAACGUGACUUUGGGCCAAAGUGGCUAUAAUGAGGACCAUGUAGAAUGUGGAGAGGGAGACACGAGCAGCCCUGACCAAGAAGAGAAUGGAAAUCCAGCUUCACAGGAACCAAAGGCUGCAAACUCCGCUGAGCAAGAGAAUGAAGCUUGCAUUAAGAAUGCUAAAGGGACUGAAGUGGCAACAGCUGCAAGCUUUUACACCGAGCAACCUCUGACUUUGAAUAUCUCCACUUUCCAAGGGCAGGAAGGACCUAAAUCACAGCCCAGGCCUGUGCACGCUGGAAAUGAUGUUGCCUCAGUUACUAAAGACUGUGUUCCUCUGAAAAGUGGGAACUAUAUUCCUGAGGAUGACAGGGACUGUGUUUCCCCAGACUUUGACAACUGCAUCCCGCCAGACUUUGACAACUGCAUCCCGCCAGACUUUGACAACUAUGUUCCCCCAGACUUUGACAACUGCAUCCUACCAGAUUUUGACAGCUGUGUUCCCCCAGACUUUGACAACUGUGUUCCCCCAGACUUCGAUGACUGUGAUCCUCCAGAAUAUGAUGACUGUGGUCCCGCAGCCUUCAAUGUCUCUGGUCCUAUAGAUGGCAGGUACUAUACUCCUGGGAUUAAUAGGGACAAUAUUCCUCCAGAUUUUGGGGAUUAAGUCCCUCUCGACAUUGAAGACUAAGCUGAAGAUGGAGCUGAAUGAAGGGAGCAAGCCAGGGUUCUACUGCCAUCAGAUUGAAACAAAAUUUCCGGAGGACAUAUCUGAAGAUCUUCACAUUAGAUUUUACCAGGCCAUAUGUAGCAUGUGCCUGUUGAUGGUAUAACUGUAAAAUCUGACUGUUGGAUCCACAUGUUGUCUCUCAUCUGGUGAUGGGCCAACCUCCAAAUAGUGGAUUAUCCAAACUCUGUAAUGCUCAUCCAUUCCUUAUCCAAGUUAUCCAAACCUCUUGAGUCUGAAGAAUUGUACUGGUAAGCUCAAGAGAACCCAUCAUCUAUAGCACUGUAGUUUGCAGUCAUGGAUGUAAACACAUAGAAAGGAGCUUUAAUCGUUAUAUUUCAGCACUUCCACUUCUGAGCCCAGUUGCAUACCAAACACAGAAAAUAACCAAACACAUAUUUUGGAACCUCAAAAAAAGCUUUGGUUUCUCUUUUGUUUCUAAAAACAAGGGAUGUUUUAGAGAAGAGAAGGAUUUCCUAGUUUUCUGGACGUAUGUGCUCAUCCCCAAUCUCGAUUCUAGUCUUCUUCUCUGCUUAAUCUACAGACGAAUGUGGGAAAAGGGGAAUAUCAAAGUCAAGAUGCCCCAUCUCAGUGGAUCUGAUUGCUCCUAGUAUGGCAUUUUGGAUCAAAUAGGCUGUAGUUUAAUUUAGUGAAGUUAGAUAGAGGUUUAUCUCAUGUGUUGGUUUGUUUAUGAACAACAUAUCUGGUAAUUUAUUCUACUAAAGUCACAUUAAAAAAGGAAGCUACAUUGAACUUGAGCCUGGCUGGAGGCUGAACACAGGGUUAUUUUGACAAAAAGCCAUUGAAUCACUAGUGAGUUGUCUGAACUUUAAGCAUAUUGCUAUAAUUUACAUCCUUAAUAAUUAGAUACCGUAUUUCUUGAGCUUCUU